CCGACAGCCGCCGUUUAAAGCCCAGAGCCUCGCCCGGAUACUCCACAAGCCUAGAAUACAAACGAGAAAAAGGCGUAUUUGACAGACUCGAAGCCACAAGUCAGCCCGUCCAACAGCUCCAUCAAAACUCGGCCAAUAGGGGCGGCGGAUCCCGGAGCUGCUCCUCUCGGCUGUUAACCAGCGAGUUUUCACACAGCCCGAGGGCAGAAAUCCUGUUAACUGUGGAUUUGAGUUCACAUCU